GCCUCAGAUCGGAUCUGAGAUUACCCGCUGAAUUUAAGCAUAUCACUAAGCGGAGGAAAAGAAACUAACAAGGAUUCCCUCAGUAACGGCGAGUGAAGCGGUAUCAGCCCAGCACCGAAUCCCCCAGCAUCUCGCUGGCGGGCGAUGUGGUGUAUGGGACGCCAACUGUCGUCCGCACCGGUGGCCGAAGUCCUCCUGAUCGGGGCCUCUCCCAGAGUGGGUGUCAGGCCUUUACUGGCUGCUGGUCGGUCGGCUGCNAGCGUCCCCGGAGUCGGGUUGUUUGGGAAUGCNGCCCAAA
rnacentral:rRNA from 1 species